GCCGGUCGGUCACAAAUUUUGGGAGGGGCAGAAAGCAGUUUUCAACAAGUGAUUAAGUUGUGAGGCUCAUCACUCCCCCUAACUGGGAGUGGCCCUGAGACAAUUACUCAACGCUAACACAUCUUUCUAGCUAAGUGACACACUGAAGUUGUGUUGCACUUGGUGACCUCUGACUGUUUCAUCCUAACAUUGUUGGUGUCGAUGUGGAUAACAAUAUCCCUAUAACUAUUUACACUCGCCAGUUUCAGCCUCAGCCAGCACCAUCUUCAGAUUAGCCUUUACGUCGGUAUCCCUGCCACCUGAUCCAGCAAGCAACAUCAUCCACUGCAGUCACCAUGGAGACAAGGGUAGAAACAACACUGUCCUCAGAGAUGCAGAGCAUUCGCUUCACUGAAGCAUCUGAAGUGUUUAUGGUUAAUUAAGGGGAGUUUUCUUUCUACCAGCCUCAUAUUGAUUACCCUUAGAGUUCAGCUAAUUUCAGUUUAUGUGACAACACAAGCAGUUGUGUAGGGAAUCAUUGUACCAUCUAAACCACUGUGAAAUAUAUUUUAUUGUAUUUUCAGAUGUUCAGAGCUGGCAUACAAACUGAAAGUAAAUGACAAAAACAAAAGUUAAGAACGGGAAGCAUAGAAAUAGAGCACAUAGGAGAGAUCUACCACUUCUUAGUUUUGCCUUCAAUGAGAAUGAAAGAUUUAUAACUCACAUUUCUAUGUGAAUUUGGUCAGUCAACCAUAAAGUGACAUACUUUAGCUUUAAGGAUGAAAGAUUAAAACAAGGAGAAAGAUAAUUAUUCCUAUGAGCAAUACAAAGGGGUUCAACAACUCCCAUGGGCUGGUUAUAGCAUUAUAGCUCACCAUUUCACAUGGCUAAAGGACCAAUGGGGACAUGCCACCGGCUAUAGAAUCUAUCAACAUUCUAUAGAUUCUGAGAAUAUUUGAUUAGAUGGAAGAAGACCUAGAAUGUCCAUCGUUGGUUAAUUGGCUUGUGUGGCAAAUGAAUGCACAAAAACCAUAUUGUUUUUCCUUUGCAAAAGAGGCAACCAUUUGGACAUUUGACCUAUAGCAUACAUUAAGUCCAAAUUAAAACCAUACAACAUCACUGUGUUAUCCUGCUUAAUUCAAUAAUGAGAAAGCACAUGUAUUUUAUCCCUCGGUUAAUUCCUGUGUCUGGAUUUCUGUCAGCCCUAAAGGAAAAAUAAAUU
rnacentral:lncRNA from 1 species